rnacentral:rRNA from 1 species
AGUAACUGCGAGUGAAGCGGGAAAAGCUCAAAUUUAAAAUCUGGCGGGUUCCCCGUCCGAGUUGUAAUCUGGAGAAGCGUUUUCCGUGUCGGACCGUGUACAAGUCCCUUGGAAUGGGGCGUCAUAGAGGGUGAGAAUCCCGUCCAUGACACGGACUACCGAUGCUUUGUGAUACGCUCUCGAAGAGUCGAGUUGUUUGGGAAUGCAGCUCAAAAUGGGUGGUAAAUUCCAUCUAAAGCUAAAUAUUGGCGAGAGACCGAUAGCGAACAAGUACCGUGAGGGAAAGAUGAAAAGCACUUUGGAAAGAGAGUUAAACAGUACGUGAAAUUGUUGAAAGGGAAACGCUUGAAGUCAGUCGCGUCCGUCGAGACUCAGCCUUGCCUUUGGGCCUGGUGUAUUUCUUGGUGGACGGGUCAACAUCGAUUUUGAAUGGCAGAUAAAGGUCUGGGGAAUGUGGCACCUCCGGGUGUGUUAUAGCCCCUCUCAGUAUAUGCUGUUUGGGAUCGAGGAACGCAGCACGCCCUUGUGGCCGGGGUUUUACCCACGUACCGUGCUUAG